GUGAAUCAUCAAAUUUUUGAACGCAAAUUGCACUCUCUGGUAUUCCGGAAAGUAUUUCUGUUUGAAGGUAAGUAAAAUAAAAAUCGGUGUUGUUGCUGCCUUUCGUGGUGACGCGUCGGAAUUGGGUUGUAUUACUUUCGGUUAAGUGACUUAAAAUUUUUGCAUGAUUUUCGAACGUAUUCAAAUCGCUUACUUAUGUUUGAGUUAU
rnacentral:misc_RNA from 1 species